rnacentral:rRNA from 1 species
UAGCGAAGGGGGCUAGCGUUGCUCGGAAUCACUGGGCGUAAAGCGCACGUAGGCGGCUUUCUAAGUCAGGGGUGAAAUCCUGGAGCUCAACUCCAGAACUGCCUUUGAUACUGGAGAGCUUGAGUCCGGAAGAGGUGAGUGGAACUCCGAGUGUAGAGGUGAAAUUCGUAGAUAUUCGGAAGAACACCAGUGGCGAAGGCGGCUCACUGGUCCGGUACUGACGCUGAGGUGCGAAAGCGUGGGGAGCAAACAGG